rnacentral:rRNA from 1 species
GACGAACGCUGGCGGCGUGCUUAACACAUGCAAGUCGAACGGAAAGGCCCUGCUUUUGUGGGGUGCUCGAGUGGCGAACGGGUGAGUAACACGUGAGUAACCUGCCCUUGACUUUGGGAUAACUUCAGGAAACUGGGGCUAAUACCGGAUAGGAGCUCCUGCUGCAUGGUGGGGGUUGGAAAGUUUCGGCGGUUGGGGAUGGACUCGCGGCUUAUCAGCUUGUUGGUGGGGUAGUGGCUUACCAAGGCUUUGACGGGUAGCCGGCCUGAGAGGGUGACCGGCCACAUUGGGACUGAGAUACGGCCCAGACUCCUACGGGAGGCAGCAGUGGAGAAUAUUGCACAAUGGGCGGAAGCCUGAUGCAGCAACGCCGCGUGCGGGAUGACGGCCUUCGGGUUGUAAACCGCUUUCGCCUGUGACGAAGCGUGAGUGACGGUAGUGGGUAAAGAAGCACCGGCUAACUACGUG